rnacentral:rRNA from 1 species
ACGCUCGACACCUACGGGGCAGCAGUGAGGAAUAUUGGUCAAUGGGCGCAGGCCUGAACCAGCCAAGUAGCGUGAAGGAUGACUGCCCUAUGGGUUGUAAACUUCUUUUAUAUGGGAAUAAAGUUUUCCACGUGUGGAAUUUUGUAUGUACCAUAUGAAUAAGGAUCGGCUAACUCCGUGCCAGCAGCCGCGGUAAUCUGAGGCGGGCUGGCAAGGC